GGGUUGUGAGGUUAAGCGACUAAGCGUACACGGUGGAUGCCCUGGCAGUCAGAGGCGAUGAAGGACGUGCUAAUCUGCGAUAAGCGCCGGUAAGGUGAUAUGAACCGUUAUAACCGGCGAUUUCCGAAUGGGGAAACCCAGUGUGACUCGUCACACUAUCAUUAACUGAAUCCAUAGGUUAAUGAGGCGAACCGGGGGAACUGAAACAUCUAAGUACCCCGAGGAAAAGAAAUCAACCGAGAUU
rnacentral:rRNA from 2 species